AUUGAACGCUGGCGGCAUGCUUUACACAUGCAAGUCGAACAGUAACAGGCCUUCGGGCGCUGACGAGUGGCGAACGGGUGAGUAAUGCAUCGGAACGUGCCCAGUCGUGGGGGAUAACGCAGCGAAAGCUGUGCUAAUACCGCAUACGAUCUGUGGAUGAAAGCGGGGGACCUUCGGGCCUCGCCCGAUUGGAGCGGCCGAUGUCAGAUUAGGUAGUUGGUGGGGUAAAGGCUCACCAAGCCAACGAUCUGUAGCUGGUCUGAGAGGACGACCAGCCACACUGGGACUGAGACACGGCCCAGACUCCUACGGGAGGCAGCAGUGGGGAAUUUUGGACAAUGGGCGCAAGCCUGAUCCAGCAAUGCCGCGUGCAGGAAGAAGGCCUUCGGGUUGUAAACUGCUUUUGUACGGAACGAAACGGUCCUGGUUAAUACCUGGGGCUAAUGACGGUACCGUAAGAAUAAGCACCGGCUAACUACGUGCCAGCAGCCGCCGUAAGAC
rnacentral:rRNA from 1 species